AACUAAAACAAGAGAAGCAAUUUCUCAAAGACACUACUGGCCUGGCAUGUCAGUCGACAUCAGCAAAUGGGUCUCCCAGUGCUUAGACUGUCAAGCCAGCACUCCAUGUCUCAAGAAACCAUCAGAGUUUAUGCCGAUAAAGAUGUCCAGGAAGCAUGGGAAGGAAAUGUUUCACAUGUUCUCCUUUCCAAAAUUGGGCCAUACAAAUUAUAUUAUUGGGACAUUUCUCAAAUUGGUCCAAACAUGGAGCUGGAAAGUGAGGUACACAGUACUGCUCAUAACUUUAAGUGUUUUUUUAGUUAGCCACAUAACUAAGUGCAUUUAGCUAAAUCUAUGAACAUUUCCUUGACAGUCCAUUAAUGCCUAUAUGAAUCUAUUAGUGUGUGAGCACAAUUGCACCAACAAAGAAAAAGCAGCUCUGAUAGACUCCUUUGCAAUGACUGCAAUUUGGAAUGGAAAAUCCCCAAGGCUUAAGAUAAAACCCAUGGAGCAUGAAGUUUUACUGGUGAUUAUAAAUGACCACCACCACUGGAA